AAGUCUAUUUUGAAAUUAAAAAAAAAAAAUCUGUUCUUAUCAGUUUAAUAUCUGAUACAUCCCUUAUCUAGGAACCAUAUAUUAAAUUGAUUUUUGGAACAGGGAGAUGGAAUAGGGGCUUGCUCCAUCCAUUCCAUGCAUCGACCUGGUAUUGCAGUGCCUCCAACAGCAACCCAAGAAAG